rnacentral:misc_RNA from 1 species
AUCAAAUUAAUGAUUGUAACAAUGCACUAUUAUUGGUUGUUAGGAGAUUAUUAAUUUUAUGAUAUAUAAUUAAUAUAUAUUUAAUAGAAUACCUAUUAAAUCCCAGAGUCGAACCUAGUCCUUAGGCCUUAACCCCUUACCUUUACCGGUUCAAUGACGGGGCACUACCCAGUUUGAAAACCUUGUCAGAACCAAACGAAAUGCCACUAAGAAAUAUCCCAUGGAACUAGAAUGACAUGACCAUGAGGUACUAGAUGCA